rnacentral:rRNA from 1 species
AACGAACGCUGGCGGCAUGCCUAACACAUGCAAGUCGAACGAGACCUUCGGGUCUAGUGGCGAACGGGUGCGUAACGCGUGGGAACCUGCCCUUAGGUUCGGAAUAACUCCCCGAAAGGGGUGCUAAAACCGGAUAAUGUCUUCGGACCAAAGAUUUAUCGCCUUUGGAUGGGCCCGCGUUGGAUUAGCUAGUUGGUAGGGUAAAAGCCUACCAAGGCGACGAUCCAUAGCUGGUCUGAGAGGAUGAUCAGCCACACUGGGACUGGGACACGGCCCAGACUCCUACGGGAGGCAGCAGUGGGGAAUAUUGGACAAUGGGCGAAAGCCUGAUCCAGCAAUGCCGCGUGAGUGAUGAAGGCCUUAGGGUUGUAAAGCCCUUUUAACCGGGAUGAUAAUGACAGUACCGGGAGAAUAAGCUCCGGCUAACUCCGUG